UACGGAGGGUGCAAGCGUUAUCCGGAUUCACUGGGUUUAAAGGGUGCGUAGGUGGGCAGGUAAGUCAGUGGUGAAAUCUCCGGGCUUAACUCGGAAACUGCCAUUGAUACUAUCUUUCUUGAAUACCGUGGAGGUCAGCGGAAUAUGUCAUGUAGCGGUGAAAUGCUUAGAUAUGACAUAGAACACCAAUUGCGAAGGCAGCUUACUACGGAUCGAUUGACACUGAGGCACGAAAGCGUGGGGAUCAAACAGG
rnacentral:rRNA from 1 species